rnacentral:rRNA from 1 species
UACGUAGGUGGCAAGCGUUAUCCGGAUUUAUUGGGCGUAAAGGGAACGCAGGCGGUCUUUUAAGUGAGAUGUGAAAUACUCGGGCUCAACUUGAGUGCUGCAUUUCAAACUGGAAGUCUAGAGUGCAGGAGAGGAGAAUGGAAUUCCUAGUGUAGCGGUGAAAUGCGUAGAGAUUAGGAAGAACACCAGUGGCGAAGGCGAUUCUCUGGACUGUAACUGACGCUGAGGCUCGAAAGCGUGGGGAGCAAACAGG